GAUGAACGCUGGCGGCGUGCCUAAUACAUGCAAGUCGAGCGAACAGACGAGGAGCUUGCUCCUCUGACGUUAGCGGCGGACGGGUGAGUAACACGUGGAUAACCUACCUAUAAGACUGGGAUAACUUCGGGAAACCGGAGCUAAUACCGGAUAAUAUAUUGAACCGCAUGGUUCAAUAGUGAAAGACGGUUUUGCUGUCACUUAUAGAUGGAUCCGCGCCGCAUUAGCUAGUUGGUAAGGUAACGGCUUACCAAGGCAACGAUGCGUAGCCGACCUGAGAGGGUGAUCGGCCACACUGGAACUGAGACACUGUCCAGACUCCUACGGGAGGCAGCAGUAGGGAAUCUUCCGCAAUGGGCGAAAGCCUGACGGAGCAACGCCGCGUGAGUGAUGAAGGUCUUCGGAUCGUAAAACUCUGUUAUUAGGGAAGAACAAAUGUGUAAGUAACUAUGCACGUCUUGACGGUACCUACUCAGAAAGCCACGGCUAACUACGUG
rnacentral:rRNA from 1 species